rnacentral:rRNA from 1 species
GCACGAGCGCACCCCUUUCCUUAGUUGCCAGCACAUAAUGGUGGGGACUCUAAGGAUACUGCCCGGGAUAACCGGGAGGAAGGUGGGGAUGAUGUCAAGUCAGUAUGUCCCUUAUGUCCAGGGCUACACACGUGUUACAAUGGCCGGUACAAUGGGUUGCCAAACCGCGAGGUGGAGCCAAUCCCAAAAAACCGGUCUCAGUUCAGAUUGGAGUCUGCAACUCGACUCCAUGAAGCAGGAAUCGCUAGUAAUCGCGCAUCAGCACGGCGCGGUGAAUACGUUCCCGGGUCUUGUACACACCGCCCGUCACGCCAUGGAAGUCGGCAAUACCCGAAGCCGGUGACCUAACCCGCCUUUUGGCGGGAAGGAACCGUCGAAGGUAAGGUUGGUAACUGGGGCGAAGUCGUAACAAGGUAGCCGUACCGGAAGGUGCGGCUGGAUCACCUCCUUU